ACCCGCUGAAUUUAAGCAUAUCACUAAGCGGAGGAAAAGAAACUAACAAGGAUUCCCUGAGUAACGGCGAGUGAAACGGGAAGAGCCCAGCACCGAAUCCCCCGGCCGUGUGGUUGGAGGGAACUGUGGUGUUUGGGAGUACCUCUGGGGCGGUUGGUGGGCGUUCGAGUCCUCCUGAUUGGGGCUUGACCCUGAGCGGGUGUAAGGCCUCUACAGCACCUGCCACCGUCUCUCUGGAGCUCCCUGGAGUCGGGUUGUUUGAGAUUGCAGCCCAAAGUGGGUGGUAAACUCCAUCUAAGGCUAAAUACAUGCACGAGUCCGAUAGCGAACAAGUACGGUGACGGAAAGUUGAAAAGAACUUUGAAGAGAGAGUUC
rnacentral:rRNA from 1 species